rnacentral:lncRNA from 1 species
CAGGGGUUGAAAAAAUGGAGGGUGGGCAGAGGUGGGGUGGGCUGGGACAAAACCCAGAGAGCACUCUUCUUAAAGGCAGGCAAAUUCAGACUUGCAAUACACAUUCUGCUGAACGAAGCUAAUUUCUGAGGAAAGUGAGGCCCAGAGUGGUUAAGUGAUUCAUGAUGGUAUCAGGGAGGGCCCUGAGGGUUCUGAUCACUCCCAGCACUUGAUCCAAAGGCCCCAGGCCCUUGGAGGCAUUUCAGUGGCUGGCUUGGGUUAAAACUGCAUGACAGGCGCCUCUUAACCUGGGCCUCUUGGGCCUGGAAAAUUGGCUGCUGGAAGGGAGAAAGGCUAAGGGUAGCGUCCCAGCCGGUAUCUCAGCAACGCGGGGUUACAGGCCGCAGGAUGAGUGCUCCAGCUGACCCAGACUCACCACUUUUCAGUUGUCAUGCAAGCAAGCAAACACUUCCCAAUUCCAGGCCAGAAAUCUUUCUAAACUGUGGCAGCCGCUUCCCUUUCUUCACAAGCAGACGGCACUGGGUAUAAUUUAAGCUUUUUCUUCAUGUCUCCGUGCCAUCUUGCUGAAACAUCAGCUACUGUUCUGUCCUUCAAUGCAGACCUGGCCUCAGGAGAUUGUAAGGUGGGUAGAAACAUUGGCUUUUCUCAUAAAGGAUUCCAGACAGUGACGUGUUUGGGCUUUUUUUCUUUGAUUUA